ACCUGGUUGAUCCUGCCAGAGGCUACCGCUAUUGGAGUUCGAUUAAGCCAUGCGAGUCUAGAGGCCUAGCCUCGGCGUACCGCUCAGUAACACGUGGGUAACCUACCCUAUGCUGGGGAAUAAGCUCGGGAAACUGAGAAUAAUACCCCAUAGUCCACUACGCCUGGAACGGUGAGUGGAUGAAAGCUCCGGCGGCAUAGGAUGGGCCUGCGGCGUAUCAGGUUGUAGGGGGUGUAACGUACCCUCUAGCCAUCCACGCGUACGGGUGUUGGGAGACAUUGCCCGGAGAUGGAUUCUGAGACACGAAUCCAGACCCUACGGGGUGCAGCAGGCGCGAAAACUUGGCAAUGCGAGAAAUCGUGACCAGGGAACUCCAAGUGGCAGGGGUAAGACCCUGUCUUUUUUCGACUCUAAAUAGGUCGACGAAUAAGGGGUGGGUAAGGACGGUGCCAGCCGCCGCGGUAAUACCGGCGCCUCAAGUGGUAGUCGCUUUUAUUGGGCCUAAAACGUCCGUAGCCGGUCUGGUACAUUCGUGGGUAAAUCA
rnacentral:rRNA from 1 species